UACACUUCACUGAACCUUCAUUUGAAACAUGAGAUCUUAAGCAAACCAGCCGAAACCCCUCUGUCUUCAUCUUUCUGUCAUCCGGUGACCGGAGCCGGUACUCCGGCAACGCUCCGGAGUCAGUUCCUGGUCAGCCAACACACCUCGACCACUAUCAUCCUUCCCUCAUCACCCCUGAACCACGCACACCCCCCCUUUCGGCAGAUCGAGCAAAGACACCACCACCUGACGGUGGUGGUGAGCGGCGGCUGUGGAUUAUCAGCGAGAGAGAGAGAGAGCCGAGAAGAAAGAGAUCGGAGAAAAGAGAACCGGCGGUCGAUGCCAUUGACCGGCGGACAUAGUCUUUAUCCGGCGAAUUCACCGGUUUUGGGCUCAACUUGGUUCAGGUUCGAGUAAAUUUUUGGGGGUUCGAGCAGCAGAGAGCGAGAUGGAGACUCGGACCACCGGUCGAUUCUUUUAUCCGGCGGUCGUUACCGUUAUCCGACGGGUUUGCCGGUAAGUGGUUUCGACUGACUCUUCUCCUUGCAUUAAGAUGAAGAUGAUAAUAUUUCUGUUGAUGUUCGGCGAUUCAGAUCUGAGAGUUUUGGAUUCUUAGUUCAGGUUCGUGUUUCGCAGCGGGUCAAACCCGGUUGACUCGGUCAAACUGAGUCGACUCGGUCAACAAUCAGUCAACUCGGUUCGAGUUCAGUCAAACAAAGUCAACAGUAGGUCAAGCGUUCAACGGCUCGGUCAACGCCGUCAGAUUCAAUGUUAGCGCGGUUCGGGUCGACUUGGUCAAACUUGGUCAACCCGACGAGUCAACUCAGUCCACCGAGCCGGUCGACUCAGUUGACUCGGCCAACUCAUUCAAUGAAAGCGGCACGGAAGACUUGGAAUAUUGUAGAAUGAACGCUAGCGAGUCUCGUCUUGGAAACGACAUCACGAAGUCGUAUAUAGCUAGCUUUGCACAGGAAUAUUCAGGCAUAGGAUUAUGCAGGCAUGGAGUCAAAGUCAGGGUGGGCAAUGAAGAUACCAGUCCAGUCACGCCAACUCUGAUAAUUUCGGGGUGUGACAUAUGGGCUCAAGUUACCAUCAGAAAUGAGUGGUGUACAUGAUGUACUAUUCGGAUGCAUUUGAAGAGGUGUAUAAUGGGUGAUACACUAAUUUUGCGCUUUGUAAAGAUUAUUUAGGAGAUAAACGGAGGUUUAUCUAAGCAUCGAAGAAGCAGUGCGUAUAGCUUGAAAAGUUAUGUUACUAACCGCAAGGGCGAUUUCAGCAUUCCAGUAAUAUCUACGAUUUAUAAGACGUGUGUAAUAUAGAUCUACAAGGAUUCUUCGUAAGAAUCCAAGUUCGUCACAGAAACUAUAAAACUAUAUUCAAUAGAUUCGUUUUUGUUAUUCUUAUUUAGUGCAAAAACAAAACCUGUAGAGUAAAAAUUUUGGGGAUGAAAUUUCCAAAACAGGGGGAGACUGUGACACCCGGCUUUUCAGGCCAUACCGUACAGGGCUAUAUUUGACUGGU